GAUGAAGAACGCAGCGAAAUGCGAUAAGUAAUGUGAAUUGCAGAAUUCAGUGAAUCAUCGAAUCUUUGAACGCACAUUGCGCCCGCCAGUAUUCUGGCGGGCAUGCCUGUUCGAGCGUCAUUACAACCCUCAGGCCCCCGGGCCUGGCGUUGGGGAUCGGCGGAAGCCCCCUGUGGGCACACGCCGUCCCUCAAAUACAGUGGCGGUCCCGCCGCAGCUUCCAUUGCGUAGUAGCUAACACCUCGCAACUGGAGAGCGGUGCGGCCAUGCCGUAAAACACCCAACUUCUGAAUGUUGACCUCGAAUCAGGUAGGAAUACCCGCUGAACUUAAGCAUAUCAAUAAGCGGAGGA
rnacentral:misc_RNA from 1 species